rnacentral:ncRNA from 1 species
UCAUCAUCAAUGAUCAGGAAGAGUACACAAUACCCAAAAGGGUUACAGCGAGCCAAUGGCAGUGGGAGUUUGGCACUACUUGGUAUGUGGAAUGGGCCUGGGAGAUACAGUCUGAUUCGCAUUUUGCGAGGUAGGAACUGUCGGGAUUCUUCCGCCGUUAUCAGGAAGCAGGUAUCGGAUAGUAAAUAUCCCGUAUCUUGUAAAGCCGGGCUUUUUUAAAGCCAAUCAGGGUGGCACCGCGGGUUAACCCCUCGUCCCUAUA